AUACUUCCUACGGGAGAAAGCAAGGGAUAAAUAAUGACCUUGCGCUAAUAGAUGAGCCUAAGUCGGAUUAGCUAGUUGGUGGGGUAAAGGCCUACCAAGGCGACAAUCUGUAGCGGGUCUGAGAGGAUGAUCCGCCACACUGGGACUGAGACACGGCCCAAACUCCUACGGGAGGCAGCAGUGGGGAAUAUUGGACAAUGGGGGGAACCCUGAUCCAGCCAUGCCGCGUGUGUGAAGAAGGCCUUAUGGUUGUAAAGCACUUUAAGCGAGGAGGAGGGUACUGGUAUUAAUACUACCAGCUACUGGACGUUACUCGCAGAAUAAGCACCGGCUAACUCUGUGCCAGCAGCCGCGGUAAUACAGAGGGUGCGAGCGUUAAUCGGAUUUACUGGGCGUAAAGCGUGCGUAUGCGGCUAAUUGAGUCGGAUGUGAAAUCCCCGAGCUUAACUUGGGAAUUGCAUUCGAUACUGGUUAUCUAGAGUGUGAGAGAGGAUGGCAGAAUUCCACGUGUAGCGGUGAAAUGCCUAGACAUCUCGACGAAAGACCAAUGGCGGAAGCAACCCUUCUGUCCAACACUGAC
rnacentral:rRNA from 1 species